rnacentral:rRNA from 1 species
AUGGUAGUUUGCAAUGGCCGUAAGCACCGCCUUGACGAGGACAAUACGACCAGGGGCGGCCACCAUUUUCUGAAUAGAAGCGAGCUGCUCCGCUCGGACUGCACCGGGCUGGUGUCGUCGAUAAGCUACAGCGAUGCAAUGGGGCCAGCAAUGCUGCUGGGCGUGCUGGAGCUCGAUUGGUGGGUGCCGGGGCGGUGCCGCUGCUCACCCGGAGCAAAUUGCACCCAGUUCAGCGCGCCGACCACGGGUCAGGAGGCGUUCCGGUGCGAAUGCCAGGAUGGGCUCGAGGGCGACGGCUUCAUCUACGGCACGGGUUGCCGGUUGACAGGCACAGCGUCCAGCCGCCAACAACGAGUGCCGUUCGGGGUCUUCGCCGCGGUUACCGCCAUCGCCGUGGUGCUACUUGUUCUCAGCAUAUCGGCUUGCCUCAUCUUCCGCCGCGGCCCAAGGCGAAAUACCAUGACGAAAACCAAACAACCGCUGAAAGCGGUGGCUGCACUCUUCCGCGGCGAACUCGUGGACGACGAGCUCGACCAAGGAGCUGCCGGACCCCGGCGAUUUUCAUACGACGACCUCGCUGCUGCAACUGGUAACUUCUCCCGUUCUCCGACGACAGGGCGCUCGGAAGGGGAUGCUUUGGGUCAGUUUACCAAGGGUUCCUGA